AUGGACAACGAUGUACCAGCUAUGGGUUUCAUAUAUGGCACUUUUUUGGAUGCAAAGAAGGAGAUUGCAGCUAGAUUUGACAAUGAGGAGGCUAGUAUCCAGGAAGUGCUACACAUUAUUGAUAAGAGAUGGGACAACAAAUUGAAGGGGCCCCUACAUAGGGCUGGAUACUUCUUAAACCCAUACUACUACUAUGAAAACAAGCUGAAGAUUGAGUUGGAUGGAACAUUUAAAGAUGGCCUUGUUGCUUGCAUGAAGAAGAUGGUUAGAGAUGGUAAGAAGGAAGAUAUAAUGACAGCUGAGUGUCAGGCAUAUCAAAAUGUAGAGGGGUCGUUUGGAAGGGACAGUGCUAAAAGGCAGCGGAGAAACAAGAACUUUGAUCCAGCUGAAUGGUGGUCCAAUCAUGGAUCAAGUGCACCAAAUAUCAGGGUACUGGCUAUGCGGAUUUUGAGCUUGACAUGCAGAUCAGCUUGUGAGAGAAACUUCAGUGUUUUUCAGCAGGUUCAAGGCAGCAAAAGGCGCAACAGGCUACUUCAUGACAAAAUGAGAGAUCUUGUCUUCAUCAAGGCAACUCCCAACUUGAAUAAAAGAGAAUGA
rnacentral:rRNA from 1 species